rnacentral:rRNA from 1 species
AUUGAACGCUGGCGGCAGGCCUAACACAUGCAAGUCGAGCGCGCGGCGGACGGGUGAGUAAUGUCUGGGAAACUGCCUGAUGGAGGGGGGUAACUACUGGAAACGGUAGCUAAUACCGCAUACCAUCAGAUGUGCCCAGAUGGGAUUAGCUAGUAGGUGGGGUAACGGCUCACCUAGGCGACGAUCCCUAGCUGGUCUGAGAGGAUGACCAGCACAAGUGGAACGGAGACACGGUCCAGACUCCUACGGGGGGCAGAAGUGGGGAAUAUGGCACAAUGGGCGCAAGCCGGAGGAAGCCAGGCCGCGUGUGUGAAGAAGGCCUUCGGGUUGUAAAGCACUUUAAGCGGGGAGGCGUUACCCGCAGAAGAAGCACCGGCUAACUCCGUGCCAGCAGCCGCGUAAUUC